CUCCCACCAUGACCAUCAGACAAUGCAGAGCUGGAAAAAGAAGCAUACAUUCUAGUCCUGAGCAGCGGUUGAACUUCGGGGACGACAUCUCCAGCGCUCUUCGAAUCACGAAGCAGCGCUGAAACAGCAUCGAGGAGCGGUGCAUCCACCAGGAGAGCGAGCUGCACUCCUACCUCUUGAGGAUCCUUGCAGUGGAGCUUGAAAGGGAGCUGGAAUAGUGCCAGCGGAACCACGAGGGUGAUGAGGACGACAGCCACGUCUGGGCCCAGCAGGCCUGCAUUGAGGCCAAGCACGUGAGGGUGCCCCCCGCCCACAUGACAAAUAUAUGGCAGACAUGGAUGAGCUCUUCUCUCAGGUGGACGAGAAGAGGAAGAAGUGCGACAUCCCCGACUACCUGUGCGGCUGCUGAAAAAGCCUGGGGCAGUUCAAGUCAUGGAUCUCCCAUUUUGAUUCCUGUUUUGGUGGAAUACAAAGUAACCUAAGGCAGGUAAAGAUAGCACUUUCUCCAGAACUAUCCUCAAAAUUGAUGUUUUGUCUCAAUACACACAUGCACACACACACACAGACACACACACACCCAUGAUCCAGUGGGUAUGUGUAAAGAUGCCCCAAAAGAAUAAUUACAGAACAAUGU
rnacentral:lncRNA from 1 species